AUUAAGCUAAUCACACACUGUAAUUAGUAAUUACCAUACUCCAUCAUUUCAUUUACCAAAAUGGAGGGGAUAAGUGAGAAUUUCCUGUAAAUCAAACCAAGUGGCUGAUAAAAGCAAAAGUUGGGAGAGUAACGUCUAAAAGCUCAGCACCAGGCACGCUCUGCUGCAUUUACCAUUUGCCCAGUUACCUCCUCUUCCGUUCCAAAAAUCUUGCACCCCAAGAUCUCUCCACGUGUCCACGCUGGUUCUACGUGUCUUUACUGAUGUGUCCACGCUCCUCUUUUUGACUUUUAAAACCCACCUGGCCUCGCCCUUCCCACUCCAUUUCAUUUCAAUUACACCACACCAUACCACUUUCUCUCAUUACUCUGCAGCCUCACUCUCUGUUUUCUUUCCUUUCUAAAACUUUGCUUUAUAUAAUCGGAGCUCAGUGAUCAACCAUCCUAAAAUGUCGGAAACUUGCACAAGGAAGCUUAUCGUUGAAGUCUGCAAUGCAAAGAAUCUGAUGCCGAAAGAUGGCCAAGGCACAGCCAGUGCUUAUGCUAUUGUAGACUUUGACGGACAGCGGCGGAGGACCAAGACCAAGUUCAGAGAUCUGAAUCCAGAGUGGGAUGAAAAGCUUGAAUUUCUAGUCCAUGACACUGACUCCAUGCCCUCCGAGAUCUUAGAGAUCAAUCUUUAUAAUGAUAAGAAGACUGGAAAACGAAGUACUUUUCUUGGUAAAGUAAAGAUCGCUGGGAGUGGAUUUGUUAAAGCUGGAUCGGAAACUCUGGUUUACUAUCCGUUGGAGAAAAGAAGCGUGUUUUCACAGAUUAAAGGAGAAAUUGGGUUGAAAGUUUAUUAUAUUGAUGAGGAUCCACCGGCAGCCCCAGCGGAGCAAAAGCCAGAAGCAACAGCUCCGGCUGCAGCGGAGGAGAAGCCACCUGAGGAUGCUGCAAAACCAGAAGGGGAGAAGAAGGAAGAGAAAGCUGAAGAGAAUAAAGAGGAGAAAAAGGAAGAGCCAAAGUCAGAGCCGUCUACUGAAGCUAAAAAAGAGGGUGAGAAGCCAAAUCCACCGCAGGAGGAAAAAGAAUCAAAAAAACCUGAGGAAGCUUCCCCAGCGCCUCCAGCAGCAGCUGUUGAGGUGGAUAAUCCACCAUUGGCCCACAGUGAGGAAAAGACAUCAAAGCAGCAAAAGGAUAAGCCAACAGACACCGGAAAAAGUUCCGAUUUCACAAUCAACGACCUUGAACUCCGGUCAUUAGCUAGCGAUCGCAGCCGCAGUGCAUACGAUCUGGUAGAUCGCAUGGCAUUUCUAUAUGUCCGCGUUGUAAAGGCCAAAAGAGCAAGCUCUGAAUCUAGUCCUGCAAUGUAUGCAAAGCUUGCGAUCGGUACACACAGCAUCAAAACAAAGAGCCAGAAUGACAAAGAUUGGGACCAAGUUUUUGCGUUUGACAAGGAGGGACUGAACUCAACUUCUCUGGAGGUUUCAGUGUGGGCAGAGGAGAAGAAAGAGAACGAGGAGAAAACAGAGAGUUGUUUGGGUACGGUAUCGUUCGAUUUGCAGGAGGUACCAAAGAGAGUACCACCCGAUAGUCCUCUGGCUCCUCAAUGGUACAGUUUGGAAUCAGAGAAGUCGCUGGGAAAUGACGUCAUGCUGGCCGUUUGGGUCGGGACUCAGGCCGAUGAGGCAUUUCAGGAGGCUUGGCAGUCGGACUCGGGCGGGCUGAUACCCGAGACACGAGCCAAGGUGUACUUGUCACCAAAGCUUUGGUAUUUGAGAUUAACGGUAAUCCAAACCCAGGAUUUGCAGCCAGCUUUGGCUUCCGAACCUAAGGCUAGGAGUCCAGAGCUGUAUGUUAAGGCUCAGCUUGGCGCACAGGUUUUCAAAACGGGAAGGACUUCAGUUGGGUCUUCCUCCUCUAGCUCGGCUAAUCCCACUUGGAACGAGGAUUUAGUUUUUGUGGCGGCUGAGCCGUUUGAACCGUUUUUAGUGGUGACAAUGGAAGAUGUGACCAAUGGGCAGUCUGUGGGCCAUGCUAAAAUACCUAUGGCAGGCAUAGAGCGGCGGACGGAUGAUCGUACGGAGCCAAAAUCAAGAUGGUUCAAUUUGAUUGGCGAUGAGAACAGGCCGUACACGGGGAGGAUACACGUGAGAGUAUGUUUGGAGGGUGGCUAUCACGUGCUAGAUGAGGCAGCACAUGUUACUAGCGAUGUUAGAGCUGCAGCAAAGCAAUUAGCCAAAGCUCCCAUAGGGCUAUUAGAGGUUGGGAUCCGAGGGGCCACGAAUCUGCUUCCGGUGAAAACCAAGGAUGGUACACGUGGGACUACUGACGCUUAUGUUGUGGCUAAGUAUGGGCCCAAGUGGGUUCGGACCCGCACGAUCCUUGAUCGAUUUAAUCCACGGUGGAAUGAGCAGUACACAUGGGACGUAUAUGAUCCAUGCACUGUGCUUACUAUUGGCGUGUUUGACAAUGGAAGGUAUAAGCGGGAUGAGCCAGGAAAAGAUAUCAGAGUUGGGAAAAUACGUAUACGCUUAUCAACGCUUGAUACAAAUCGGGUGUACCUAAAUUCUAAUUCGCUUACCGUUUUGUUACCCGGUGGGGCCAAGAAAAUGGGAGAGAUUGAGAUAGCCGUUAGAUUUUCAUGCUCAUCAUGGCUCAGUUUAAUGCAAGCGUACGCAACUCCAAUGCUUCCCAGAAUGCACUAUGUGCGCCCUUUGGGUCCUGCUCAACAAGACAUAUUGCGCCACACGGCUAUGCGUAUAGUCACGGCUCGGCUAGCCAGGUCUGAGCCGCCAUUAGGUCAAGAAGUGGUUCAGUUUAUGCUGGAUAGCGACACCCACAUGUGGAGCAUGAGGAGAAGCAAGGCAAACUGGUUCAGAGUGGUUGGGUGCCUCACACAUGCGGCUACUUUGGCGCGUUGGUUGGAUGGGAUUCGCACGUGGGUACACCCACCCACCACUAUUCUAGUCCAUGUGUUACUUGUGGCUGUCGUUUUAUGUCCACAUCUACUGCUCCCCACCGUAUUCAUGUACGCCUUCUUGAUUUUAGCACUGAGGUUUCGAUAUCGCCCAAGGGUCCCACACAACAUGGACCCAAGGCUUUCCUAUGUGGAUGCUGUGGGCCAGGAUGAGCUCGAUGAAGAGUUUGAUGGAUUUCCUACCACACGAUCAUCUGACGUGGUUCGUAUUCGAUACGAUAGGCUGCGGGCUUUAUCUGGGCGGGCACAGACACUUUUAGGUGAUUUGGCAGCCCAAGGAGAGCGUUUAGAGGCGUUGUGUAGUUGGAGGGAUCCAAGGGCUACUGGGAUUUUUAUGGUGUUUUGCUUGCUAGCUUCGUUGGUAUUUUACGCGGUGCCGUUUAAGGUUUUUGUGCUAGGGUCAGGGUUCUACUAUCUCCGCCACCCAAGGUUCCGUGACGACAUGCCGUCUAUUCCUGUCAACUUUUUCCGGCGACUACCGUCGCUAUCAGAUCAAAUUCUGUAGACUGUAGUGAGUGCACUACAGGUAGCCGUUUUGAUUUCUGUAAUAAGAUCAUAAAUUAUUGUUUUAUUGAUUAUUUGGAUUUGAGCUUUUAAAGUUGAUAAAAAGUUUUGUGUUGUUACAUGCAUAAAGCAGAAAAAGUGACCGUUAUAUUGUUUAUGGGGGGCGGUGGAGCAUUCAAGGGACAAAAGUUAAUGAAAGGAUUUGUUGUAGAUAUUUAGGUAAGGUGACCGUUAGAUGAAAAGUGUACUCCACAGACAUGUAGGAAGAGAUGAAAAGUGUACUUCCCAAAUAUGUAGGAAGAACUAGAAGAACCAUAA
rnacentral:misc_RNA from 1 species